rnacentral:rRNA from 1 species
GACGAACGCUGGCGGCGUGCUUAACACAUGCAAGUCGAACGGAAAGGCCCUGCUUUUGUGGGGUGCUCGAGUGGCGAACGGGUGAGUAACACGUGAGUAACCUGCCCUUGACUUUGGGAUAACUUCAGGAAACUGGGGCUAAUACCGGAUAGGAGCUCCUGCUGCAUGGUGGGGGUUGGAAAGUUUCGGCGGUUGGGGAUGGACUCGCGGCUUAUCAGCUUGUUGGUGGGGUAGUUGCUUACCAAGGCUUUGACGGGUAGCCGGCCUGAGAGGGUUAACGGGUAAAAUGGGACGGAGAGACGGCCCAGAAUGCAACGGGAGGCAGCAGUGGGGAAUAUUGCAAAAUGGGCGGAAGCCUGAUGCAGCAACGCCGGGUGCGGGAUGACGGCCUUCGGGUUGUAAACCGCUUUCGCCUGUGACGAAGCGGGAGUGACGGUAAUGGGUAAAGAAGCACCGGCUAACUACGUG